rnacentral:rRNA from 1 species
UACAGAGGUGCCCAAGCGUUGUUCGGAUUCACUGGGCGUAAAGGGUGCGUAGGCGGUCGGGUAAGUCUGACGUGAAAUCUUCAAGCUUAACUUGGAAACUGCGUCGGAUACUAUUCGGCUGGAGGAAUGGAGGGGAGACUGGAAGUACUUGGUGUAGCAGUGAAAUGCGUAGAUAUCAAGUGGAACACCAGUGGCGAAGGCGAGUCUCUGGACAUUUCCUGACGCUGAGGCACGAAGGUCAGGGGAGCAAACGGG